UUUUAUGAUGACACACUACGAAAAAAUUACAAUAUUUCUGGUACCUCUUAUGUCAGAAGAGCUUGCUGCAAAGCGGGUUUUCUUCGAUGAUCUAUAUGGACUUCUGACU
rnacentral:snoRNA from 1 species